UUCCCCCCUCCAAACCGUCAUUGAAAUUCCUUUGUUGGCUUCGUUAGCGCUAACGAGGCGGCGGUGUGAUUAGCAGGCUUGUAAUUAGCGCUAAUUAAGAGGUUGCGUGUGUGCGUUGAGGUCAGGGUGGGGUCGUUAAUGCUCCCUCUCCCCUCCCUUAAUUGGGGUGCGUUAAUUAAGGGGACCCCCCUCCUCCCCCCCAUGCUUCUGUUGGGAGGUGGUUGUUGUUAAUGAGCGUUAAUUGGUUGGGUUAAUUACAGCCUGGGUGGGCUCUGUGCUGGGGGGGGGGGGAUUUGGGGUGAAAUGACCCCCAAUUGGGGCAAAAUGACCCCCAAAUUGGAGUUAAGUGGUGAUUUUGGGGUGAAAUGACCCCAAAUGGGGGCAAAAUGACCCCAAAUUGGGACUGAGUGCUGAUUGGGGUGAAAUGACCCCAAAAUGGGGGCAAAAAUGACCCCAAAUUGGGACUGAGUGUUGAUUUUGGGGUGAAAUGAUCCUAAGUUGGGGCAAAAAGACCCCAAAUUGGGUUGAAAUGACCCCAAAUUGGGCCUAAGUGGUGUUUUUGGGGUGAAAUGAGCCCGAAUUGGGGCAAAAUGACCCCAAAUCGGGACUGAGUGUUGAUUUUAGGAUGAAAUGAUCCUAAAUUGGGGCAAAAAGACCCCAAAUUAGGGCAUAAUGACCCCAAAUUGGGGCAAAAUGACCCCCAAAUUGGGUUGAAGUGACCCCAAAUUGGGACUGAGUGCUGAUUUUGGGGUGAAAUGACCCCAAAUGGGGGCAAAAUGACCCCAAAUUGGGACUGAGUGCUGAUUUUGGGGUGAAAUGACCCCAAAUGGGGGCAAAAUGACCCCAAAUUGGGACUGAGUGCUGAUUUUGGGGUGAAAUGACCGCAAAUGGGGGCAAAAUGACCCCAAAUUGGGACUGAGUACUGAUUUUGGGGUGAAAUGACCCCAAAUUGGUCUAAUUUGGCGUUCAUUUUGUCCCUAAGUGGUGAUUUUGGGGUGAAAUGACCCCAAAUUGGGGCAAAAUGACCCCCGGAUGAGGUUGAGAUGACCUCAAAUGGGGGCAAAAUGACCCCAAAAUUGGGUUGAGAUGACCCCAAAUUGGGACUGAGUGUUGAUUUUGGGGUGAAAUGAUCCUAAGUUGGGGCAAAAAGACCCCAAAUUGGGUUGAAAUGACCCCAAAUUGGGCCUAAGUGGUGUUUUUGGGGUAAAAUGAGCCCGAAUUGGGGCAAAAUGACCCCAAAUUGGGACUGAGUGUUGAUUUUAGGAUGAAAUGAUCCUAAAUUGGGGCAAAAAGACCCCAAAUUAGGGCAUAAUGACCCCAAAUUGGGGCAAAAUGACCCCCAAAUUGGGCUGAAGUGACCCCAAAUUGGGACUGAGUGCUGAUUUUGGGGUGAAAUGACCCCAAAUGGGGGCAAAAUGACCCCAAAUUGGGACUGAGUGUUGAUUUUGGGGUGAAAUGAUCCUAAGUUGGGGCAAAAAGACCCCAAAUUGGGGCAUAAUGACCCCAAAUUGGGGCAAAAUGACCCCCAAAUUGGGUUGAAGUGACCCCAAAUUGGGACUGAGUGCUGAUUUUGGGGUGAAAUGACCCCAAAUGGGGGCAAAAUGAACCCCAAAUUGGGGCUGAGCUCAGUGAAAUCGGG
ensembl:lncRNA